CGUAUCACUAGAGCAUUGGUGAAGUAGUCAUGGUUACCCGCUUAGUCAACCCAGUGCCACUAGAGUCAAGCUUGGAACUUGGAUAAAGUCCACCUUUGCUGAUGACUUCUGCAGUCCUACUUCAUCAAUAUGCAUGUACGCUGCUUUCAAUAAGAGAAAAGAUUUUCCCCGACUUUCCUGAGAUUCCGAUAAAUGGAGCGACGAAGUCAAAUCCCCCAUUAAAGUUAGCAGACAAGCAUAUGGAGUUGUUUAUCAAAUAAAAUCAAAAGGGUGGGGGUUCUGUGUCCUAAAAAUGUGUUCCAACCGCCUCAAAAUCCCAAAUGCCUUACUCUGUUUUUUAGUCAUUCUUUUCUCCCACAAGGUUGAGUCCUGGAGCUCUGCGGUUCUAAACAUUCUGUUGGCUGAAAUUUUCAACUUCAAACAAGGGUGGAGGAGAUAGAAGAGGGGCAUUCUUUUGGAUGAUAUCUCUGAAUAAUGCAUAAUACAAUU